rnacentral:rRNA from 1 species
UACGUAGGGUGCGAGCGUUGUUCGGAAUCAUUGGGCGUAAAGCGUGCGUAGGCGGAUUGGAAAGUCGGAUGUGAAAUCCCACGGCUUAACUGUGGAAUUGCGUUCGAAACUAUCAAUCUGGAGGACGGUAGAGGUAGGUGGAAUUCCUGGUGUAGAGGUGAAAUUCGUAGAUAUCAGGAGGAACACUCGUGGCGAAGGCGGCCUACUGGGCCGUUCCUGACGCUGAGGCACGAAAGCAUGGGGAUCAAACAGG